AGAGUUUGAUCCUGGCUCAGAGCGAACGCUGGCGGCAGGCCUAACACAUGCAAGUCGAGCGCCCCGCAAGGGGAGCGGCAGACGGGAGAGUAACACGUGGGAACGUACCCUUCGGUUCGGAACAACCCAGGGAAACUUGGGCUAAUACCGGAUACGUCCGUAAGGAGAAAGAUUUAUCGCCGAAGGAUCGGCCCGCGUCUGAUUAGCUUGUUGGUGAGGUAACGGCUCACCAAGGCGACGAUCAGUAGCUGGUCUGAGAGGAUGAUCAGCCUCACUGGGACUGAGACACGGCCCAGACUCCUACGGGAGGCAGCAGUGGGGAAUAUUGGACAAUGGGCGCAAGCCUGAUCCAGCCAUGCCGCGUGGGUGAUGAAGGCCCUAGGGUUGUAAAGCCCUUUCGGCGGGGAAGAUAAUGACGGUACCCGCAGAAGAAGCCCCCGU
rnacentral:rRNA from 1 species